rnacentral:rRNA from 1 species
CGAGCGAAGCGGGAAGAGCUCAAAUUUAUAAUCUGGCACUUUCAGUGUCCGAGUUGUAAUCUCUAGAAGUGUUUUCCGCGUUGGACCGCACACAAGUCUGUUGGAAUACAGCGGCACAGUGGUGACACCCCCGUACACGGUGCGGACGCCCAGCGCUUUGUGAUACACUUUCGAAGAGUCGAGUUGUUUGGGAAUGCAGCUCAAAUUGGGUGGUAAAUUCCAUCUAAAGCUAAAUAUUGGCGAGAGACCGAUAGCGAACAAGUACCGUGAGGGAAAGAUGAAAAGCACUUUGGAAAGAGAGUUAACAGUACGUGAAAUUGUUGGAAGGGAAACGCUUGAAGUCAGACUUGCUUGCCGGAGCUUGCUUCGGUUUGCAGGCCAGCAUCAGUUUUCCGGGGUGGAUAAUGGCGGUUAGAAGGUAGCAGCUUCAGCUGUGUUAUAGCUUUCCGCUGGAUACAUCCUGGGGGACUGAGGAACGCAGCGUGCUUUUAGCGGGGGUUUCGACCUCUUCACGCUUAGG